AGGUGACACUAAGAUGUGACACAACAUGUACACUGAGUAACCAUCCCACUAUUGUCUGGUUCAGGGAUGGACACUCAGUACACAACACAGAGUUCCUGGCCAACAUUGAGGAUUCUGAUAGAUACCAAUGUGCUGUUCAAGGUCAAGAUCUUCUCUCCUCUGCUCCAGUGUCUCUUGACUUCCAAUGUCAGUCUCUCUGGAUGCAUUCUGCAGGAGGUGUUGCAGUUGCUGCAAUGUGGCUCUUUGAAACAACCAGUGUGAUAAUGGUGAUUACUCUCACGUCGCCAGGUAACCAUAUUUUUGCUUUGAUGCUCUAUCAUAAUGUGGAUGUCAGCACUGACUUAUGAUUAAUAAUUGAGAUAUGAAAUUUGUACUACUUCUGUGUAUUGCUCAUAGUAGAGGAACAGGGAAGUACUGCAGAGGGAAUAUGUUAUAUUUUCAUUAUUGUGUUACCUUGAUAGUGAAAUGUACAGUACCAGUCAAAAGUUUGGACACACCUACUCAUUCAAGGGUUUUUCUUUAUUUUUACUAUAACACAUAAGGAAUCAUGUAGUAACCAAAAAAGUGUUAAACAAAUCAAAAUAUAUUUUAUAUUUGAGAUUCUUCAAAGUAGCCACCCUUUGCCUUGAUGACAGCUUUGCACACUCUUGGCAUUCUCUCAAACAGCUUCAUGAAG
rnacentral:lncRNA from 8 species